rnacentral:rRNA from 1 species
GACGAACCGUCCUAACGUUGUUCGGAAUCACUGGGCUUAAAGGGCGCGUAGGCGGCUUGCCAAGUCAGGGGUGAAAUCCUGCAGCUUAACUGUAGAAGGGCCUUUGAUACUGGCAAGCUCGAGGGAGGUAGGGGUAUGUGGAACUUCCGGUGGAGCGGUGAAAUGCGUUGAUAUCGGAAGGAACGCCGGUGGCGAAAGCGACGUACUGGACCUCUUCUGACGCUGAGGCGCGAAAGCGUGGGGAGCAAACAGG